CUAUACAUGACUCUGCGCAUAUCAAUAAGCGGAGGAAAAGAAACUAACAAGGAUUCCCUAGUAACGGCGAGUGAAGCGGGAAGAGCUCAAAUUUGAAAUCUUAAAGGGUUUCCCUUUACGAAUUGUAGUUUAAAGAAGUGUUUUCUGUUGAGGUUUUGGUAAAAGUUCUUUGGAAUAGGACAUCAUAGAGGGUGAGAAUCCCGUAUUUGACCUUUACUUUCAACUUUGUGAUACACUUUCAAAGAGUCGGAUUGUUUGGGAAUGCAGUCCAAAAUGGGUGGUAAAUUUCAUCUAAAGCUAAAUAUUGGCGAGAGACCGAUAGCGAACAAGUACCGUGAGGGAAAGAUGAAAAGAACUUUGAAAAGAGAGUUAAACAGUACGUGAAAUUGUCAAAAGGGAAGCGUUUGACACCAGUGUUGUUUUUCUGAAAAUCAAUUAAAGAACUGUUUAUGCUAAGCUGUUUAGACUUUAUCAGCUAACUGUUUAGUUUUGAGCUUUUCUUUAAUGCACUUUUCAGUUAACAAGUCAACAUCAAUUUCUUUUGCUGUAAAAAAGCUUGAGGAAGGUGGCUUGAGAUUCGUCUUAAGUGUUUAUAGCCUCUUGCCUAUGCAGUCGGAGAGAUUGAGGUCUGCAGCGUAGAUCCUUCGGGGCUAAAUGCAUUUGUGCUAAGUUAUAGCAUUUUAUAGACAACUUGUUGACUAUGAUUAGUCUUGUAGCUUACUCGCUUAUGCUAUUUUACCUACGCUUAGGAUGUUGACAGCAGUAUAGACUGU
rnacentral:rRNA from 1 species